rnacentral:rRNA from 1 species
UACAGAGGGGGCAAGCGUUGUUCGGAAUUACUGGGCGUAAAGGGCGCGUAGGCGCCUUCUAAGUCGAACGUGAAAUCCCCGGGCUCAACCCGGGAACUGCGUCCGAUACUGGAAGGCUUGAAUCCGGGAGAGGGAUGCGGAAUUCCAGGUGUAGCGGUGAAAUGCGUAGAUAUCUGGAGGAAUACCGGUGGCGAAGGCGGCAUCCUGGACCAUUACUGACGCUGAGGCGCGAAAGCUAGGGGAGCAAACGGG